rnacentral:rRNA from 1 species
CCUACGGGAGGCAGCAGUGAGGAAUAUUGGUCAAUGGACGAGAGUCUGAACCAGCCAAGUAGCGUGAAGGAUGACGGCUCUAUGGAUUGUAAACUUCUUUUAUAUGGGAAUAAAAUGUGCCACGUGUGGGGUUUUGUAUGUACCAUAUGAAUAAGGAUCGGCUAACUCCGUGCCAGCAGCCGCGGUAAUACGGAGGAUCCGAGUGUUAUCCGGAUUUAUUGGGUUUAAAGGGAGCGUAGGUGGUUUGUUAAGUCAGCUGUGAAAGUUUGCGGCUCAACCGUAAAAUUGCCGUUGAAACUGGCAGUCUUGAGUACAGUUGAGGUGGGCGGAAUUCGUGGUGUAGCGGUGAAAUGCUUAGAUAUCACGCAGAACUCCGAUUGCGAAGGCAGCUCACUGGACUGUAACUGACACUGAGGCUCGAAAGUGUGGGUAUCAAACAGGAUUAGAUACCCCUGUAGUC